UCGGACGUGGUGCACGGUGCACGCCACUACUUGUAGGCAAAUAUCCAUUAAAUUGUGUGGAAAGCCUGGGUUCGACUCCCAGCGUCCGAA